rnacentral:rRNA from 1 species
GACGAACGCUGGCGGCGUGCUUAACACAUGCAAGUCGAACGGAAAGGCCCUGCUUUUGUGGGGUGCUCGAGUGGCGAACGGGUGAGUAACACGUGAGUAACCUGCCCUUGACUUUGGGAUAACUUCAGGAAACUGGGGCUAAUACCGGAUAGGAGCUCCUGCUGCAUGGUGGGGGUUGGAAAGUUUCGGCGGUUGGGGAUGGACUCGCGGCUUAUCAGCUUGUUGGUGGGGUAGUGGCUUACCAAGGCUUUGACGGGUAGCCGGCCUGAGAGGGUGACCGGCCACAUUGGGACUGAGAUACGGCCAGACUCCUACGGGAGGCAGCAGUGGGGAAUAUUGCACAAUGGGCGGAAGCCUGAUGCAGCAACGCCGCGUGCGGGAUGACGGCCUUCGGGUUGUAAACCGCUUUCGCCUGUGACGAGGCGUGAGUGACGGUAAUGGGUAAAGAAGCACCGGCUAACUACGUG